CGCUAACACAGGCGUUGUCCUCUGAGGCUCUGAAUGACUUUAUUCUUCAAAUGCCUUUACCUUUUCGUAGCUCCAGUGCCCUUUGAGACAGCCCUCUCCCCCAACGCCAGUCCUCGGAACAACUUUGCUGACAAAGCCCAGUUUCUGCCUCUGACCUCAGGGUGUCAAGAAAAGAAGCAUUUUUUUUUCUUCUCCGGGGGUUUGCAAACCUACAGUUGAGGCCUGGAGGACUAAUGGGAGCCAGGAUCGCACCCACCUUUAUCCGGCACAAGCUGGCCUCAAUCUUAAGCUGUUCCACCAUCUUGCGUGCUUGGCCAAUACUCAUAGUGCUGUUAACGGGGGUCUCCCCUUUCAUCCUGGAGUAAAGACAGAUAACUCAGUACCCUCAGCUGAAGCACUCGGCUC
rnacentral:lncRNA from 1 species